CCGGGUUUCAGUUGGCCCCAGCCGCCACAGACAGCCGACCGACGCUCCAUGGUGCAACCGCCUCGAGCUUCAAACGGCUUCGAACUCACAGGCGGCGUUGUCUUGGGGGUCCCUCGACAACGGAGGCAUCCGCAAGGAAGCGGCGUCGAGGAAACCCCGCUCAGGAACAAGCACCAUGGAAGUUGACGGGGAGAAGCCCUGCCGUUACGCAUCCAACGGGUGCGAAGCCUACCCCUUAGGCUGAGGCAAGGAGCGCACUGGAGGCAACGUGUCCUCAAAGUACCAUGGAUGUCGACGGAGACGAACCCUGCCGCUACGCUCCCAACGGGUGCCAAGCAUUCCCGCCAGCUGAGACCAGAACUGACCAUGAGGCAACCUGUCCCCAACGAAACCUACCAUGUCCAGCAAAAGGUUGCAGAUGGCGGGGAGGCCGCCUCUAUAUGGCCGAACACCUGGUCGCGGCUCAUCAAGCCCCGCGACA